AACUAUAAUGUUUCACUGAUUAUAGUUGGUCGAUAAUCUGAUCGGAAAAAUCAAGCCUUCAUUUUUACAGGGUGCUUAUCCAUUGCUGCUGUUGGCAUUUUGGCAAUUUUUAAAAUAUGGGACAUUGCUUCUCUAGGGAUAACUCUGAUGACACUGAUUCAGAUCAGGCUGUUGAGUUUGUUGGUGGAAAUGUGCACCGUGUUACCUCCAAAGAGGAUUGGAAUCAGAAGUUGUCCAAAGCAAAGAGAGAUGGCAAGAUUGUAAGUUUCUUUUUACUUUCAACUCAGGUGAGGUAACG